rnacentral:lncRNA from 1 species
GCUGUAGGUGUGGCAGAUGGAAGUUCCCAAGCUAGGAGAUGAAUCAGAGCUGCAGCUCCCUACCUACGCCACAACCAUAGUAACACCAGAUCCAAGUCAUGUCUGUGACCUACACCACAGAUCAUGGCAAUGUCGGAUCCUUAACCCACUGAUGGGGGCCAGGGAUCAAACCCGAAACCUCAUGGAUACUAGUCAGGUUCAUUUCCACUGAGCCACAGUGGGAACUCCCACAAUGCAUAUUUUAGAAGAGAGAGGGUUCAAGAGUAUUGCAAUGAUCCAGUUAUGUGAUUAGAGGGGUGGCAGUGGGCUUGGAAAGGAUGUAAGAAAUUUUGAAAGAAGAUCAGACAAAGUCUGGUGAUUGAUUCCAGACAGGGAGCGGGGAGCAAGGCAAAGAGAGAAACCACCUUUGUCUGAAGGCCCAUAAUGUUGAGCAAAUAGAGAAAAAGAAACAAAAGGCGCAGAAAAAGAAGGACCAAGAAAGAGUUGGAGGAAUCUCAUGAGAGGGUUUCAGAGUGAAAGAAUCCUGAACAAUGUCAGAUACUGCAAAGAUCUCAAGGAGACUGACAACUGAGGAAAACUAUUAAGAUUGUCAACCAGGAGCUCCUGUCGUGGCUCAGUGGAAAAGAAUGAGACUAGCAUCCAUGAGAACAUAGGUUUGAUCUCUGGCAUCCCUCAGUGGGUUAAGGAUCUGGCAUUGCCAUGAGCUGCAGUGUGGGUCACAGACACAGCUCAGAUCUGGCAUUGCUAUGGCUGUGGCAUAGGCUGGCGGCUACAGCUCCGAUUCGACCCCUAGUCUGGGAACCUCCAGAUGCCGCAGGUGUGCCCCUGAAAAGAAAAAAAAAAAGAUUGUCAACCAGGAAGUUAUUGGUACCAUGCGAGGGGGCAUAUUGGCAGUGGUUGUGAUGGUGGUGGUGGUAGUUAGUGGCUAGAGCUAGACUGGAAGGGACUCAGUGGUUGGGGAGAGGCAGAGACGACAAAAGCAGAGUUCAGAAAAAAGUCUUCUCAACAGUAGGGCGAUUUCUCUGUUUGCAGGUAGAAACAAAAGGAGAGAAAAGGGUUAAAGAUGCCUGAGAGAGACCCAGGAGCCAAGGCAGCCAAGGCAGAGCAGGAGGCAAGGAAGGACUGGAACGUGCAAAUGGAGGGGCUGGCCUUGGCACAAAGAGAGAGGAGAGAGGAGGUGGGCAGACACAGAGGGAUGCUGGCAUCCUGAUGGGGGUGGAGGGGGCAGUUAAAAUGUGCCCCCGGGUCUCCCAUGUGGGACCUGCCAAUGCCUGGACUUACCAACUGCUUGGAACUCUGCAUUGAGGGUGAGAAGGACGGCGAGGAGGAGCAGGAGGCAGAGGCCACCCAGCUUCAUGUUGCCGGCUGAGGACUGGUCGGUGGU